rnacentral:rRNA from 1 species
CAGUCGCCGCGGGAAUACGGAGGGUGCAAGCGUUAAUCGGAAUUACUGGGCGUAAAGCGCACGCAGGCGGUCUGACAAGUCAGAUGUGAAAUCCCCGGGCUUAACCUGGGAACUGCAUUUGAAACUGUCAGGCUGGAGUCUUGUAGAGGGGGGUAGAAUUCCAGGUGUAGCGGUGAAAUGCGUAGAGAUCUGGAGGAAUACCGGUGGCGAAGGCGGCCCCCUGGACAAAGACUGACGCUGAGGUGCGAAAGCGUGGGGAGCAAACAGGAUUAGAUACCCGUGUAGUCCCUGUCUCUUAUAU